GCUGAGGUCGCUCAAUCAGGUAGAGCACUGGUCUCGAAAACCAGCGGGCUUGUCCCAUGGGGGUUCAAAUCCCCUCCUCAGCG
rnacentral:tRNA from 1 species